AAUUUUUAAAUGUACAAGCGAUGAAAUUGAGAAAAAGUAAACUCGUAAUUUUCCACCAAAAAACAUAAACCCGUGAUUUUCCCGCCAAAAACGUAAACCGGUGAUUUUCCCGCCAAAAACGUAAACCCGUAAUUUUCUCGCCAAAAACCAAAACCUGUGGUUUUCUCGCCAAAAACGUAAAUCCGUGAUUUUCCCGUCAAAAACGUAAACCGUAAUUUUCCCACCAAAAACGUAAACCCGUGAUUUUCCCGCCAAAAACGUAAACCCGUAAUUUUUCCGCCAAAAAACGUAAACUCGUGAUUUUCCCGCCAAAAACGUAAACUUGUGAUUUUCCCGCCAAAAACGUAAACCUGUGAUUUUCCCGCUAAAAACGUAAACCUGUAAUUUUAUCGCCGAAAACGUAAAUCCGUAAAAAGUGGAAUUCGUAAAUAUUUUAAGUUUGAUGAUAAUGGAUUAAUAAUUAUUAAUAAUGAUAAUUAUUUAUUAUUGUUUUGU
rnacentral:sRNA from 1 species